rnacentral:rRNA from 1 species
UACAGAGGUCCCAAGCGUUGUUCGGAUUUACUGGGUGUAAAGGGUGCUCAGGCGGUCUUGUAAGUCAGAAGUGAAAUCCUAAGAGCUUAACUCUGGAACUGCUUUUGAUACUUGCAAGGCUUGAAUAUGGAAGAGGAGGGUGGAAUUUCUGGUUGUAGCAGUGAAAUGACGUAGAUAUCAGAAAGAACACCAGUGGCGAAGGCGGCCCUCUGGUCCAUUAUUGACGCUAAAGCACGAAAGCGUGGGGAGCAAACAGG